rnacentral:pre_miRNA from 1 species
UUUAAUUGCAGCCAUGAGUUUUAUAUCUAAUUUUAAUUAUUUGUCAUAUUUAAUUUUUUUUAAAAUUAGUAUUUUUAUUACUAUGAGAUGAUAAAACAUGAAUAAUAUUUUAUACUUGACUUAUGUUUUAAAUUUUUUUCAAAAAGUUUUCAAAUAAGAUGGACGAUUACGAAAAAUCACUGCUGCACUUAAA